UUAAGCGACUAAGCGUACACGGUGGAUGCCCUGGCAGUCAGAGGCGAUGAAGGACGUGCUAAUCUGCGAUAAGCGUCGGUAAGGUGAUAUGAACCGUUAUAACCGGCGAUUUCCGAAUGGGGAAACCCAGUGUGAUUCGUCACACUAUCAUUAACUGAAUCCAUAGGUUAAUGAGGCGAACCGGGGGAACUGAAACAUCUAAGUACCCCGAGGAAAAGAAAUCAACCGAGAUUCCCCCAGUAGCGGCGAGCGAACGGGGAGCAGCCCAGAGCCUGAAUCAGUGUGUGUGUUAGUGGAAGCGUCUGGAAAGGCGCGCGAUACAGGGUGACAGCCCCGUACACAAAAAUGCACAUGCUGUGAGCUCGAUGAGUAGGGCGGGACACGUGGUAUCCUGUCUGAAUAUGGGGGGACCAUCCUCCAAGGCUAAAUACUCCUGACUGACCGAUAGUGAACCAGUACCGUGAGGGAAAGGCGAAAAGAACCCCGGCGAGGGGAGUGAAAAAGAACCUGAAACCGUGUACGUACAAGCAGUGGGAGCACGCUUAGGCGUGUGACUGCGUACCUUUUGUAUAAUGGGUCAGCGACUUAUAUUCUGUAGCAAGGUUAACCGAAUAGGGGAGCCGAAGGGAAACCGAGUCUUAACUGGGCGUUAAGUUGCAGGGUAUAGACCCGAAACCCGGUGAUCUAGCCAUGGGCAGGUUGAAGGUUGGGUAACACUAACUGGAGGACCGAACCGACUAAUGUUGAAAAAUUAGCGGAUGACUUGUGGCUGGGGGUGAAAGGCCAAUCAAACCGGGAGAUAGCUGGUUCUCCCCGAAAGCUAUUUAGGUAGCGCCUCGUGAAUUCAUCUCCGGGGGUAGAGCACUGUUUCGGCAAGGGGGUCAUCCCGACUUACCAACCCGAUGCAAACUGCGAAUACCGGAGAAUGUUAUCACGGGAGACACACGGCGGGUGCUAACGUCCGUCGUGAAGAGGGAAACAACCCAGACCGCCAGCUAAGGUCCCAAAGUCAUGGUUAAGUGGGAAACGAUGUGGGAAGGCCCAGACAGCCAGGAUGUUGGCUUAGAAGCAGCCAUCAUUUAAAGAAAGCGUAAUAGCUCACUGGUCGAGUCGGCCUGCGCGGAAGAUGUAACGGGGCUAAACCAUGCACCGAAGCUGCGGCAGCGACGCUUAUGCGUUGUUGGGUAGGGGAGCGUUCUGUAAGCCUGUGAAGGUGUACUGUGAGGUAUGCUGGAGGUAUCAGAAGUGCGAAUGCUGACAUAAGUAACGAUAAAGCGGGUGAAAAGCCCGCUCGCCGGAAGACCAAGGGUUCCUGUCCAACGUUAAUCGGGGCAGGGUGAGUCGACCCCUAAGGCGAGGCCGAAAGGCGUAGUCGAUGGGAAACAGGUUAAUAUUCCUGUACUUGGUGUUACUGCGAAGGGGGGACGGAGAAGGCUAUGUUGGCCGGGCGACGGUUGUCCCGGUUUAAGCGUGUAGGCUGGUUUUCCAGGCAAAUCCGGAAAAUCAAGGCUGAGGCGUGAUGACGAGGCACUACGGUGCUGAAGCAACAAAUGCCCUGCUUCCAGGAAAAGCCUCUAAGCAUCAGGUAACAUCAAAUCGUACCCCAAACCGACACAGGUGGUCAGGUAGAGAAUACCAAGGCGCUUGAGAGAACUCGGGUGAAGGAACUAGGCAAAAUGGUGCCGUAACUUCGGGAGAAGGCACGCUGAUAUGUAGGUGAAGNUGGAGCUGAAAUCAGUCGAAGAUACCAGCUGGCUGCAACUGUUUAUUAAAAACACAGCACUGUGCAAACACGAAAGUGGACGUAUACGGUGUGACGCCUGCCCGGUGCCGGAAGGUUAAUUGAUGGGGUUAGCGCAAGCGAAGCUCUUGAUCGAAGCCCCGGUAAACGGCGGCCGUAACUAUAACGGUCCUAAGGUAGCGAAAUUCCUUGUCGGGUAAGUUCCGACCUGCACGAAUGGCGUAAUGAUGGCCAGGCUGUCUCCACCCGAGACUCAGUGAAAUUGAACUCGCUGUGAAGAUGCAGUGUACCCGCGGCAAGACGGAAAGACCCCGUGAACCUUUACUAUAGCUUGACACUGAACAUUGAGCCUUGAUGUGUAGGAUAGGUGGGAGGCUUUGAAGUGUGGACGCCAGUCUGCAUGGAGCCGACCUUGAAAUACCACCCUUUAAUGUUUGAUGUUCUAACGUUGACCCGUAAUCCGGGUUGCGGACAGUGUCUGGUGGGUAGUUUGACUGGGGCGGUCUCCUCCUAAAGAGUAACGGAGGAGCACGAAGGUUGGCUAAUCCUGGUCGGACAUCAGGAGGUUAGUGCAAUGGCAUAAGCCAGCUUGACUGCGAGCGUGACGGCGCGAGCAGGUGCGAAAGCAGGUCAUAGUGAUCCGGUGGUUCUGAAUGGAAGGGCCAUCGCUCAACGGAUAAAAGGUACUCCGGGGAUAACAGGCUGAUACCGCCCAAGAGUUCAUAUCGACGGCGGUGUUUGGCACCUCGAUGUCGGCUCAUCACAUCCUGGGGCUGAAGUAGGUCCCAAGGGUAUGGCUGUUCGCCAUUUAAAGUGGUACGCGAGCUGGGUUUAGAACGUCGUGAGACAGUUCGGUCCCUAUCUGCCGUGGGCGCUGGAGAACUGAGGGGGGCUGCUCCUAGUACGAGAGGACCGGAGUGGACGCAUCACUGGUGUUCGGGUUGUCAUGCCAAUGGCACUGCCCGGUAGCUAAAUGCGGAAGAGAUAAGUGCUGAAAGCAUCUAAGCACGAAACUUGCCCCGAGAUGAGUUCUCCCUGACCCUUUAAGGGUCCUGAAGGAACGUUGAAGACGACGACGUUGAUAGGCCGGGUGUGUAAGCGCAGCGAUGCGUUGAGCUAACCGGUACUAAUGAACCGUGAGGCUUAACCUU
rnacentral:rRNA from 1 species